CCUACGGGAGGCUGCAGUGAGGAAUAUUGGUCAAUGGACGAGAGUCUGAACCAGCCAAGUAGCGUGAAGGAUGACUGCCCUAUGGGUUGUAAACUUCUUUUAUAUGGGAAUAAAAUGUUCCACGUGUGUGCUUUUGUAUGUACCAUAUGAAUAAGGAUCGGCUAACUCCGUGCCAGCAGCCGCGGUAAUACGGAGGAUCCGAGCGUUAUCCGGAUUUAUUGGGUUUAAAGGGAGAGUAGGUGGAUUGUUAAGUCAGUUGUGAAAGUUUGCGGCUCAACCUUAAAAUUGCAGUUGAAACGGGCAGGCUUGAGUACAGUAGAGGUGAGCGGAAUUCGUGGUGUAGCGGUGAAAUGCUUAGAUAUCACGAAGAACUCCGAUUGCGAAGGCAGCUCACUAGACUGCAACUGACACUGAGGCACGAAAGUGUGGGUAUCAAACAGGAUUAGAUACCCUUGUAGUC
rnacentral:rRNA from 1 species